GUGGGGAAUCUUAGACAAUGGGCGCAAGCCUGAUCUAGCCAUGCCGCGUGAGCGAUGAAGGCCUUAGGGUUGUAAAGCUCUUUCGCUGGGGAAGAUAAUGACUGUACCCAGUAAAGAAGCCCCGGCUAACUCCGUGCCAGCAGCCGCGGUAAUACGGAGGGGGCUAGCGUUGUUCGGAAUUACUGGGCGUAAAGCGCGCGUAGGCGGAUUGGCAAGUUGGGGGUGAAAUCCCGGGGCUCAACCUCGGAACUGCCUUCAAAACUCCCAGUCUUGAGUUCGAGAGAGGUGAGUGGAAUUCCGAGUGUAGAGGUGAAAUUCGUAGAUAUUCGGAGGAACACCAGUGGCGAAGGCGGCUCACUGGCUCGAUACUGACGCUGAGGUGCGAAAGCGUGGGGAGCAAACAGGAUUAGAUACCCGAGUAGUCC
rnacentral:rRNA from 1 species